UUCUGGGGAAAAAACGAGACUCGGCGAGAACUGAGACGUCAGCUAGGAGAUGUCUAGGACCUGUCUAGCCUGCCUCUUGCUGCUGACCACGGUCUGUACGUGUGAGGGAGGAGGCACGGUGGUGAGGACAUGGAGGAGGUUGUCUGUAGACAGCCAUGUGUACACCAUGCAGACGUACUCCAGGCUGGUCACAGCGCAGUCUCGCAUCAUGUGUGCUGACCUUUGCUCUCAGACCAGCGCAUGUCACGUCUUCUACUUCCGCUCGGACACCGGCCACUGCUUUUUGUCGCCGACACUAGCAAAGGGCAACUCGAAGACGUCCACACCCCUGAAUCACGUCUACUUUGAUGGAGUCACCUGCCCGUUGAACAGCACCUUCCUGCAGCUGGGGUUUAUCUCAUGCAUAAAGCCGUCCACAACGAGAGUGAACCUCCCUACAGCAAGACAGGUCUGUGUCGAUGAUGGAGCCAGCUUUGUGAGCAUGAAGACGAAAGAAAAGAUGGAGUUGCUCAUAAACUUGGUUUACAAAACCACAGGUAAAUGGACGAGGUUGAAGAAUUUGAUGUGUGUCGCGUGGUCACCUGUCCUUAUUCCACAACAGACAUCAUUACUCUGUUUAGUAACAAAUAUGUCUGCACACCUUGAGUAU